GGAGCAGUACCCAAGAGGUUGAAGGGACUGGUUUCGAAAACCAGCAGUGGGCGCAAGCUCAGCCAGGGUUCAAAUCCCUGCUGCUCCGCCA
rnacentral:tRNA from 1 species